rnacentral:rRNA from 1 species
CAGCCGUAAACUAUGCGCGUUAGGUGUAUCGGUGACCACGAGUCACCGAGGUGCCGAAGGGAAACCGUGAAACGUGCCGCCUGGGAAGUACGGUCGCAAGGCUGAAACUUAAAGGAAUUGGCGGGGGGAGCACCACAACGAGUGGAGCCUGCGGUUUAAUUGGACUCAACGCCGGGAAGCUCACCGGAUAAGACAGCGGAAUGAUUGCCGGGCUGAAGACUCUGCAUGACUAGCUGAGAGGAGGUGCAUGGCGUAGACGUCU